rnacentral:rRNA from 1 species
UCGAUUUGGAGGUUGUUCCCUUGAGGAGUGGCUUCCGGAGCUAACGCGUUAAAUCGACCGCCUGGGGAGUACGGCCGCAAGGUUAAAACUCAAAUGAAUUGACGGGGGCCCGCACAAGCGGUGGAGCAUGUGGUUUAAUUCGAUGCAACGCGAAGAACCUUACCUACUCUUGACAUCCAGAGAAUUUAGCAGAGAUGCUUUAGUGCCUUCGGGAACUCUGAGACAGGUGCUGCAUGGCUGUCGUCAGCUCGUGUUGUGAAAUGUUGGGUUAAGUCCCGCAACGAGCGCAACCCUUAUCCUUUGUUGCCAGCAAUUCAGGGGGGAACUCCAAAGAAACCGCCCGUGAUAAACCCGGAAGAA